AUUAUUUAUUAAAAAUAAUAAGACAAUAAUUUCAAGAGAUUGCUUAAAAAAGCAUAGCAAUCAAAAUUAAUAAAAAGGAAAGCGCGAUUCAUAAGACUUAAAUGCUCUACAUUAAUAAUUUAAUAUUAUGCGUGAUUUGAAUCAGAUAAACCCACCUUGAUCUUAUUUUUAAUAACCGUACCCUAAACCAACACAGGUGGAUAGGUUGAGUAAACUAAGGUGUAUGAGAUAAUUAUGUUGAAGGAACUCGGCAAAAUGACUCUGUAACUUCGGGAGAAAGAGUACCUCUUUAUAAAUCAAAAUAUAGAAG
rnacentral:rRNA from 1 species